GUCGCCUACGGGGCGCAGCAGUGAGGAAUAUUGGUCAAUGGGCGGGAGCCUGAACCAGCCAAGCCGCGUGAAGGAAGAAGGCUUUCGGGUUGUAAACUUCUUUUGUCAGGGACGAAGCAAGUGACGGUACCUGACGAAUAAGCCACGGCUAACUACGUGCCAGCAGCCGCGGUAAUACGUAGGUGGCAAGCGUUAUCCGGAUUUACUGGGUGUAAAGGGCGUGUAGGCGGGACUGCAAGUCAGAUGUGAAAACCACGGGCUCAACCUGUGGCCUGCAUUUGAAACUGUUGUUCUUGAGUACUGGG
rnacentral:rRNA from 1 species